AUUGAACGCUGGCGGCAUGCCUUACACAUGCAAGUCGAACGUGGAAGCGGGGGCAACCCGCAAGUAGAGUGGCGGACGGGUGAGUAAUACAUCGGAACGUGUCCAGUAAUGGGGGAUAACCUAGCGAAAGUUAGGCUAAUACCGCAUACGAUCUGCGGAUGAAAGCGGGGGAUGCGGCACUAAAAGCUUUUGGUGAAGGUCGCCAAAGGCAGGUCAAGAGCUUCUAGUGCNGCACCUCGCGUUAUUGGAGCGGCUGAUGUCUGAUUAGCUAGUUGGUGAGGUAAAGGCUUACCAAGGCGACGAUCAGUAGCUGGUCUGAGAGGACGGCCAGCCACACUGGGACUGAGACACGGCCCAGACUCCUACGGGAGGCAGCAGUGGGG
rnacentral:rRNA from 1 species